UACGUAGGGGGCAAGCGUUAUCCGGAUUUACUGGGCUUAAAGAGUGCGUAGGCGGGCUUUUAAGUCAGUGGUGAAAUCUCCGGGCUUAACCCGGAAACUGCCGUUGAUACUAUUUGUCUUGAAUAUUGUGGAGGUAAGCGGAAUAUGUCAUGUAGCGGUGAAAUGCCUAGAUAUGACAUAGAACACCAAUUGCGAAGGCAGCUUACUACACAAUCAUUGACACUGAGGCACGAAAGCGUGGGGAUCAAACAGG
rnacentral:rRNA from 1 species